GGGCGCACGGUGGAUGCCUUGACACUAGGAGUCGAUGAAGGACGGGACUAACGCCGAUAUGCUUCGGGGAGCUGUAAGUAAGCUUUGAUCCGAAGAUUUCCGAAUGGGGAAACCCACUAUACGUAAUGGUAUGGUAUCCUUACCUGAAUACAUAGGGUAUGGAAGACAGACCCAGGGAACUGAAACAUCUAAGUACCUGGAGGAAGAGAAAGCAAAUGCGAUUUCCUGAGUAGCGGCGAGCGAAACGGAACAUAGCCCAAACCAAGAGGCUUGCCUCUUGGGGUUGUAGGACAUUCUAUACGGAGUUACAAAGGAACGAGGUAGACGAAGCGACCUGGAAAGGUCCGUCGUAGAGGGUAACAACCCCGUAGUCGAAACUUCGUUCUCUCUUGAAUGUAUCCUGAGUACGGCGGAACACGUGAAAUUCCGUCGGAAUCUGGGAGGACCAUCUCCCAAGGCUAAAUACUCCCUAGUGAUCGAUAGUGAACCAGUACCGUGAGGGAAAGGUGAAAAGCACCCCGGAAGGGGAGUGAAAGAGAUCCUGAAACCGUGUGCCUACAAAUAGUCAGAGCCCGUUAAUGGGUGAUGGCGUGCCUUUUGUAGAAUGAACCGGCGAGUUACGAUCCCGUGCAAGGUUAAGCUGAAGAGGCGGAGCCGCAGCGAAAGCGAGUCUGAAUAGGGCGUUUAGUACGUGGUCGUAGACCCGAAACCAGGUGAUCUACCCAUGUCCAGGGUGAAGUUCAGGUAACACUGAAUGGAGGCCCGAACCCACGCACGUUGAAAAGUGCGGGGAUGAGGUGUGGGUAGCGGAGAAAUUCCAAUCGAACCUGGAGAUAGCUGGUUCUCCCCGAAAUAGCUUUAGGGCUAGCCUUAAGUGUAAGAGUCUUGGAGGUAGAGCACUGAUUGAACUAGGGGUCCUCAUCGGAUUACCGAAUUCAGUCAAACUCCGAAUGCCAAUGACUUAUCCUUAGGAGUCAGACUGCGAGUGAUAAGAUCCGUAGUCAAGAGGGAAACAGCCCAGAUCGCCAGCUAAGGUCCCAAAGUGUGUAUUAAGUGGAAAAGGAUGUGGAGUUGCUUAGACAACUAGGAUGUUGGCUUAGAAGCAGCCACCAUUUAAAGAGUGCGUAAUAGCUCACUAGUCGAGUGACUCUGCGCCGAAAAUGUACCGGGGCUAAAUACACCACCGAAGCUGCGAAUUGAUACCAAUGGUAUCAGUGGUAGGGGAGCGUUCUAAGUGCAGUGAAGUCAGACCGGAAGGACUGGUGGAGCGCUUAGAAGUGAGAAUGCCGGUAUGAGUAGCGAAAGACGGGUGAGAAUCCCGUCCACCGAAUGCCUAAGGUUUCCUGAGGAAGGCUCGUCCGCUCAGGGUUAGUCAGGACCUAAGCCGAGGCCGACAGGCGUAGGCGAUGGACAACAGGUUGAUAUUCCUGUACCACCUCUUUAUCGUUUGAGCAAUGGAGGGACGCAGAAGGAUAGAAGAAGCGUGCGAUUGGUUGUGCACGUCCAAGCAGUUAGGCUGAUAAGUAGGCAAAUCCGCUUAUCGUGAAGGCUGAGCUGUGAUGGGGAAGCUCCUUAUGGAGCGAAGUCUUUGAUUCCCCGCUGCCAAGAAAAGCUUCUAGCGAGAUAAAAGGUGCCUGUACCGCAAACCGACACAGGUAGGCGAGGAGAGAAUCCUAAGGUGUGCGAGAGAACUCUGGUUAAGGAACUCGGCAAAAUGACCCCGUAACUUCGGGAGAAGGGGUGCUUUCUUAACGGAAAGCCGCAGUGAAUAGGCCCAAGCGACUGUUUAGCAAAAACACAGCUCUCUGCGAAGCCGUAAGGCGAAGUAUAGGGGGUGACACCUGCCCGGUGCUGGAAGGUUAAGGAGAGGGGUUAGCGUAAGCGAAGCUCUGAACUGAAGCCCCAGUAAACGGCGGCCGUAACUAUAACGGUCCUAAGGUAGCGAAAUUCCUUGUCGGGUAAGUUCCGACCCGCACGAAAGGUGUAACGAUUUGGGCACUGUCUCAACCAGAGACUCGGUGAAAUUA
rnacentral:rRNA from 1 species